rnacentral:rRNA from 1 species
UACGUAGGGUGCAAGCGUUGUCCGGAAUUAUUGGGCGUAAAGAGCUCGUAGGUGGCCUGUCGCGUCGGCUGUGAAAACUCGGGGCUCAACUCCGAGCUUGCAGUCGAUACGGGCAGGCUAGAGUUCGGCAGGGGAGACUGGAAUUCCUGGUGUAGCGGUGAAAUGCGCAGAUAUCGGGAGGAACACCAGUGGCGAAGGCGACUUCCUGGCCUGUUCUUGACGCUGAGGCGCGAAAGCUGGGGGAGCAAACGGG